CGAGCACCGCGCGGCACCGAUCCGCAGACCUCCAGGAGACAACGAGCGCUUCCGGACCGGCCCGGGGCGCUGCGCGGUGCUGCCGCCGGCUGGCAACGCUCCAAGGCGUGAUGCGGGACGCCCGGUACCGGCGGCCCCCGAGGGGCGCGGCGCGUCCCCACAUGCCCACACAGGUUAUGUGCCUGAGAAGUCCAUGUCAGCACUCUCAAACAGGACGGGCUGUGCACUGCAGAGGAGAUUGCACACCUGAAAAACCUUCUACUGUCCCUACAUUUCGCUGUUCUACAGGCAACUGCCGGGCAUGUGCAUGACUUAUGGAGCUGUUCAGCAAAUGCUGAUGUCUGUAGAAGUGUAAGAUGAAGUUUCCACCAGUUUCAGAAAGGAUUCAUACAGCUUUCAAAAAUAUCAUUUAAAAUCAUCACAGUAGAUACUAAGGAAGGAAAUAAAAUAAGCCUACACGUCAGCCUGUGAUUCAC
rnacentral:lncRNA from 1 species